rnacentral:lncRNA from 1 species
GCAUACGAGUUGAUUCACGCAAGAUGGGCAAUGCUUGGUGCUGCUGGAUUCAUCAUUCCUGAGGCCUUCAACAAAUUCGGAGCUAACUGCGGUCCUGAGGCUGUUUGGUUCAAGGUUUGUAAGCUUUAUAAGACCUUUCACUUUGUUUAAGUUCAUUGAUAUAUCAUAUAUCAGCUUCAUGACUCUCAAUUCAACAAAUGAAAUUCUACAGAACUAAUUACAUGUACUAAGCAAUGAUUUACCUUUUGAUCUGCUAUGAGAAAAGUGAAUUCAGUCUACUAGAAUAGUCGAAUUAUAGCUACACUGUUUUUUUAACAAAGUGCAAAGUUAUUUGUUGUAAACAGGCUCUUCUAGUGACUUGAGAGUUGAGAUCACUAUAAACUUUGAUAUAAACAUAAAGCCAAUUCAAUUUUUUAUAUGUAAUUAAUGCAGACCGGAGCUCUUCUUCUCGAUGGUGGAACGCUGAACUACUUUGGGAAGCCGAUCCCCAUCAACCUCAUUGUUGCUGUCGUCGCUGAGAUUGUACUUUUGGGUGGUGCAGAGUACUACAGAAUUAUCAAUGGCCUGGUAUGUGAAAGUUCUCAAUUUGAAUAAUUGAUUUUCAACCUUUAUUAAUACAAUUAUGUCAAAAACCUUUCUUACAUUUGUAAGUAGCAGAGUAAUGAAUCCUCUUAUUUAUGUCUCAAUACCAAGUUCUUAUUUGGUAAACAGAAAUAUAGAAUUUGCAACUAAACAAUGACUGGUUUAGAUACUAAUUUGUGAGGUAUGUAUUGAUGGUAGGAUUUGGAAGACAAGCUUCAUCCAGGUGGUCCAUUCGACCCGUUGGGACUCGCAAAGGAUCCGGACCAAGCUGCAUUGUUGAAGGUGAAGGAGAUCAAGAAUGGAAGGCUUGCCAUGUUUGCCAUGCUUGGUUUCUACUUCCAAGCUUAUGUCACCGGAGAAGGCCCCGUCGAGAACCUUGCAAAGCAUCUCAGUGACCCCUUUGGCAACAACUUGCUCACUGUCAUUGCUGGUUCUGCUGAGAGAGUUCCAACUCUUUGAAUCAACCAAUUCCAUGUUCUUAUCAUCAAAUGUUAAUUAAGAAAACAUGUACAAUAUGAAGGCAUCAUUAUGAAGGCAUUUUGCUUUUCUUCCUUUGGAAGCAAACUCACUUUUGAUUUAUAGAGCCUUAU